ACAUUGCUGAGGAGUCCUAUAAUAGGAUGAAACGGCCGUCUAGUAU
rnacentral:hammerhead_ribozyme from 1 species